rnacentral:lncRNA from 1 species
AGCACAGCACUUCAUGAACAAGGAAGGCAAGGGCCCAGGAAUGGCUGAAGGGGAAAUGUUCUGAACUCACUUCGGAAUGAUUAUUCUAGUGCCUGAUGGCUGGAGGGGUGGGAGAAUGGAGACUAGAGGCUAGUGAGAGAGAAGAUUCACCCCAUUCCCUACCCCACAUUCGGAAACUGUAAGCAGACUGACAAAGGUUCCCUUGGGUGAAGUCAGAAGAUAAUGU